CCUACGGGGGGCAGCAGUGGGGAAUAUUGGACAAUGGGGGGAACCCUGAUCCAGCCAUGCCGCGUGUGUGAAGAAGGCCCUCGGGUUGUAAAGCACUUUCAGUGAGGAAGAACGCCUGGUGGUUAAUACCCAUCAGGAAAGACAUCACUCACAGAAGAAGCACCGGCUAACUCCGUGCCAGCAGCCGCGGUAAUACGGAGGGUGUGAGCGUUAAUCGGAAUUACUGGGCGUAAAGCGCGCGUAGGUGGCUUGAUAAGCCGGUUGUGAAAGCCCCGGGCUCAACCUGGGAACGGCAUCCGGAACUGUCAAGCUAGAGUGCAGGAGAGGAAAGUAGAAUUCCCGGUGUAGCGGUGAAAUGCGUAGAGAUCGGGAGGAAUACCAGUGGCGAAGGCGGCCUUCUGGACUGACACUGACACUGAGGUGCGAAAGCGUGGGUAGCAAACAGGAUUAGAUACCCCUGUAGUC
rnacentral:rRNA from 1 species